rnacentral:lncRNA from 1 species
CUUGAAUUUUUACUAGAUAACAUUUUUGUUCGCUUUAGGGAUUCCGUAUAUCGUCAGAUUAUCGGAAUUCCAAUGGGGACUAACUGUGCACCACUUAUUGCGGACCUGUUUUUGUAUUGCUAUGAGUUACAAUUGAUGACAAAAAUAAGCAAAGACCCAUCGAAACAACAUCUGAUAAACAAAUUUAAUAAUACUUUUAGAUAUUUGGAUGAUAUUUUGGCUCUCAAUAAUGACGACUUCAGUAUGUAUAUUAAAGAAAUUUAUCCUGUUGAACUUACUUUAAAUAAAGCUAAUACUAACAAUGACCAC